rnacentral:rRNA from 1 species
UACGUAGGGUGCGAGCGUUGUCCGGAAUUACUGGGCGUAAAGCGCGCGUAGGCGGACCUGCAAGUCGGGGGUGAAAGCCCGAGGCUCAACCUCGGAACUGCCUUCGAUACUGCGGGUCUCGAGUCCGGGAGAGGCGAGUGGAAUUCCUGGUGUAGCGGUGAAAUGCGCAGAUAUCAGGAGGAACACCGGUGGCGAAGGCGGGUCCCUGGACGAUACCUGACACUGAGGCACGAAAGCUAGGGGAGCAAACAGG